CAGGCCUAACACAUGCAAGUCGAGCGCGAAAACUCCUUCGGGAGCCAGUAGAGCGGCGCACGGGUGAGUAACACGUGGGUAAUCUGCCUUCAGGACUGGGAUAACCAAGGGAAACUUUGGCUAAUACCGGAUAAUGCUUCGCUUUGAGAUAGGCGAAGAAAAAGCAGGGGACUUCUUCGGAAGCCUUGCACCAGAAGAUGAGCCCGCGUCCCAUCAGCUAGUUGGCGAGGUAAUGGCUCACCAAGGCGAAGACGGGUAGCUGGUCUGAGAGGAUGGCCAGCCACACUGGAACUGAGACACGGUCCAGACUCCUACGGGAGGCAGCAGUGGGGAAUAUUGCGCAAUGGGGGAAACCCUGACGCAGCAACGCCGCGUGAGUGAUGAAGGUCUUCGGAUCGUAAAGCUCUGUCGGCAGGAACGAUGGCACGGGAGGCGAAUAGGCUUCCGUGUUGACGGUACCUGCAAAGGAAGCACCGGCUAACUCUGUGCCAGCAGCCGCGGUAAU
rnacentral:rRNA from 1 species